rnacentral:lncRNA from 1 species
GCUUGACUAAACUGAGAGGAAGUUGAUGUAUCUUUCUGCUGCUAGAAGUUCAGGAUGGCAUUCCGGUUUUUGUGAAUGAGUUAUUCUUAGAUUUUUUUUUUUUUUUUUUUUUUUUUUCAAAUUACCAAUGGCUAUUUAAAUUGUUAUGGAACCUGCUCAACACCUGCUCCUUGAGUAGGUCAUUCUGGCAAAUCGGGAAUUGAUAGCUGGUUUACACAAUAUAAGGGAGUCACCGGUUGAUGCCGGGUAGUUUCAGAUGUAUGGCUAUUUAAAUUGUUAUGGAACCUGCUCAACACCUGCUCCUUGAGUAGGUCAUUCUGGCAAAUCGGGAAUUGAUAGCUGGUUUACACAAUAUAAGGGAGUCACCGGUUGAUGCCGGGUAGUUUCAGAUGUGCUUUGGGGGCAUGGGGAAGUGAAAUGAUGAUUGUGCAACAAUUUAUAGUUG